AAAAGUUAGUUAAUAUAUUAUAACAUUGAGUUGUCAGUUCAAAGUAAUAUUUUUACUUUUUUA
rnacentral:tRNA from 1 species